CGUGCACCAGUGGGGUCCCUCGGCCUGGCCUGCGCCCUCUCACAAUCCAGGACCCCUCAGGGGAUGUUGGAGAGCCGGUUUUAGCCCUAUCCAGCAGGCCAGGCUGAGGGACCCCACUGGUGCACG
rnacentral:pre_miRNA from 1 species